rnacentral:rRNA from 1 species
GCCAGACUCCUACGGGAGGCAGCAGUGGGGAAUAUUGGGCAAUGGGGGAAACCCUGACCCAGCGACGCCGCGUGAGGGAAGAAGGUUUUCGGAUUGUAAACCUCUGUCCUUGGUGACGAUAAUGACGGUAGCCAAGGAGGAAGCCACGGCUAACUACGUGCCAGCAGCCGCGGUAAUACGUAGGGGGCAAGCGUUAUCCGGAUUUACUGGGUGUAAAGGGAGCGUAGACGGAUAAGCAAGUCUGAUGUGAAAAUCCGGGGCCCAACCCCGGAAUUGCAUUGGAAACUGCAUAUCUAGAGUGUCGGAGAGGCAAGUGGAAUUCCUGGUGUAGCGGCGAAAUGCGUAGAUAUCAGGAGGAACACCAGUGGCGAAGGCGGCUUGCUGGACGAUGGCUGACGUUGAGGCUCGAAAGCGUGGGGAGCAAACAGGAUUAGAUACCCUGGUA